rnacentral:tRNA from 1 species
AGUUUUUAAGCUUUAAGCAUUAUAUCUUGAAAAUAUAAUAAAGAUUUUUAAUCUAUUAACUU